rnacentral:rRNA from 1 species
CCUACGGGUGGCAGCAGUGGGGAAUAUUGGGCAAUGGGCGCAAGCCUGACCCAGCAACGCCGCGUGAAGGAAGAAGGCUUUCGGGUUGUAAACUUCUUUUGUCAGGGACGCAGCAAGUGACGGUACCUUACGAAUAAGCCACGGCUAACUACGUGCCAGCAGCCGCGGUAAUACGUAGGUGGCAAGCGUUAUCCGGAUUUACUGUGUGUAAAGGUCGUGUAGGCGGGGAAGCAAGUCAGAUGUGAAAACCACGGGCUCAACCUGUGGCCUGCAUUUGAAACUGUUUUUCUUGAGUGCUGGAGAGGCAAGCGGAAUGCCGUGUGUAGCGGUGAAAUGCGUAGAUAUACGGAGGAACACCAGUGGCGAAGGCGGAUUGCUGGACAGUAACUGACGCUGAGGCGCGAAAGCGUGGGGAGCAAACAGGAUUAGAUACCCCUGUAGUC